UGCAGUCGAGCGGAUGAGUGGAGCUUGCUCCAUGAUUCAGCGGCGGACGGGUGAGUAAUGCCUAGGAAUCUGCCUGGUAGUGGGGGACAACGUUUCGAAAGGAACGCUAAUACCGCAUACGUCCUACGGGAGAAAGUGGGGGAUCUUCGGACCUCACGCUAUCAGAUGAGCCUAGGUCGGAUUAGCUAGUUGGUGAGGUAAAGGCUCACCAAGGCGACGAUCCGUAACUGGUCUGAGAGGAUGAUCAGUCACACUGGAACUGAGACACGGUCCAGACUCCUACGGGAGGCAGCAGUGGGGAAUAUUGGACAAUGGGCGAAAGCCUGAUCCAGCCAUGCCGCGUGUGUGAAGAAGGUCUUCGGAUUGUAAAGCACUUUAAGUUGGGAGGA
rnacentral:rRNA from 1 species